CCUACGGGCGGCUGUAGUGGGGAAUAUUGGACAAUGGGCGAAAGCCUGAUCCAGCCAUGCCGCGUGUGUGAAGAAGGCCUUCGGGUUGUAAAGCACUUUCAGUGGGGAAGAAAGCCUUGGGGCUAAUACCCUCGAGGAAGGACAUCACCCACAGAAGAAGCACCGGCUAACUCCGUGCCAGCAGCCGCGGUAAUACGGAGGGUGCGAGCGUUAAUCGGAAUUACUGGGCGUAAAGCGCGCGUAGGCGGUCUGAUAAGCCGGUUGUGAAAGCCCCGGGCUCAACCUGGGAACGGCAUCCGGAACUGUCAGGCUAGAGUGCAGGAGAGGAAGGUAGAAUUCCCGGUGUAGCGGUGAAAUGCGUAGAGAUCGGGAGGAAUACCAGUGGCGAAGGCGGCCUUCUGGACUGACACUGACGCUGAGGUGCGAAAGCGUGGGUAGCAAACAGGAUUAGAUACCCCAGUAGUC
rnacentral:rRNA from 1 species